UGGGUUAAGGGUUAGGUUAGGGUCUGGGUUAAGGGAUAGGUUAGGUUAGGGUCUGGGUUAAAGGAUAGGUUAGGUUAGGGUCUGGGUUAAGGAAUAGGUUAGGGUCUGGGUUAAUGGAAAUGCACUGGUCUGGGUUAAGGGUUAGGUUAAGGUCUGGGUUAAGGGAUAGGUUAGGGUCUGGGUUACGGAAUAUGUUAGGGCCUGGGUGAAGGGACAUGUUAGGGUCUGGGUUAAUGGAUAUGUUAGGGUCUGGGUUAAGGGAUAGGUUAGGGUCUGUGUUAAGGGAUAGGUUAGGGUCUGGGUUAAGGGUUAGGUUAGGGUCUUGGUUAAGGGAUAAGUUAGGGUCUGGGUUAAGGGUUAGGUUAGGGUCUGGGUUAAGGGAUAGGUUAGGGUCUGGGUUACGGAAUAUGUUAGGGCCUGGGUGAAGGGACAUGUUAGGGUCUUGGUUAAUGGAUAUGUUAGGGUCUGGGUUAAGGGAUAGGUUAGGGUCUGUGUUAAGGGAUAGGUUAGGGUCUGGGUUAAGGGUUAGGUUAGGGUCUUGGUUAAGGGAUAAGUUAGGGUCUGGGUUAAGGGUUAGGUUAGGGUCUGGGUUAAGGGAUACGUUAGGGUCUGGGUUAAGGGUUAGGUUAGGGUCUGGGUUAAGGGAUAGGUUAGGUUAGGGUCUGG
ensembl:lncRNA